rnacentral:lncRNA from 1 species
GUUCCAACAUGGGAAAUACCAUUGUGUAUGUGUGUUUACGUGCUUUUGGUUUUUGAGUUUGGUAAACUUAAACCUCUAAAUCUGAUGUGCUGUGUACUCAGGAAACUACUUAAAACUAUCACUAAAGGAUAUUAUAAUAAAAACCCAAGCUCCUGAAUUAUUUAAAACUAUAAGAUUGCAGUCGUUAAACUAAACUAAUUUUUAUUUUUUUUUUUUUUUUUGAGACAGGGUCUUACUCUGUCACCUAGGCUGGAGUACAGUAGUGCGAUCAUGGUUCACUGUAGCCUCGACCUCCCGGGCUCAAGCAAUCCUCCCACCUCAGCUGGCUAAGUAGCUGGAACUACAGACAUGUGCCACCAUGCCUCAUUAAGGGAGAAGAAAGGCAUGAGGAAAAGAGGAAGAUUGUUAUUGUCAAUAUAUUUCAUAUUGGAAAAGGGCUCCAUGCCACAUUUUUGUUCUGUGGCCUUAGCGCCUCUCUCAGCCUAGUUUUCUUUAGCUGUAGAACAGGGAUCCUAGUACUGCAUAAAGUGUUUGUGAAGAAGAAUACAUUAGCUAAUAACAUAAAGGUUUUAAUACAGUGCAUAUCAUACAGCCUGGCCAACAUGGCGAAACCCCAUCUCUACUAAAAAUACAAAAAAUCAGCUGGGCGUGAUGGUGUGCCUAUAGUUGCUGCUACUUGGGAGGCUGAGGCAGGAGAAUCAAUUGAGCCUGUGAGGCGGGGGUUGCAGUGAGCUGAGAUCGCGCCACAGCACUCCAGCCUGGGCGACAGAGUGAGUGAGACUCCAUCCCAAAAAAAUAAAUAAAUAAAGCCUAUCUUCCGGCCAGAAUAUAAACUCCAUGGAUGGCAUUUGUCUCAGUUAACACUCUUUCUCUAAUAGCUCCUGAAUUGCCUGCUAGAAUCGCCUAUAGGAAGACAUGACAUUAUGGGGAAUGCGUUAAGUAGCUCCCAACAUGGUCAUGUGCUCACACUAGGACUAAGAUACUGUUAUUAAAUAAAUCAUGGAAAAAUGAACUUAGAAAGGGAUAUGAAGGAUUAGCCAGUAAGUCUCUAUAAAACAUAAGGGAAUUAUAUCCAUAUUACCUUGUAUAUAAAAUGCCUUAUUUUUCAGCAUUCUUUUUUUUGUUGUUUUUUUGAGACAGGAUCUCUUACUCUAUGGCCCAGGCUGGAUUGCAGUGGCAUGAUCUUGGCUCGCUGCAGUCUCAACCUCCUGGGCUCAAGCAGUCCUCCCACUACAGCCUCCCGAGUAGCUGGGACUACGGGUGUGCAUCACCAUGCCAGGCUAAUUUUUGUAUUUUUCGUAGAGGGGGUUUCCACCAUGUCACCCAGGCUGGUCUCGAACUCCUGAGCUCAAGCAAUCUGCCUGCCUUGGCCUCUCAAAUUGCUGAGAUUUCACACGCAUGAGCCCAGCCAUUUUUCAGCACAUUCUUUAGGCAAUUUCCUUUCAGCAUUUUAGAGUAGUAAGUACUCUAAGUAGAAUUUACCAAGUUCUUGGUCUUCAUAAAUUGACAACCUCUUAUUUUGUAGGUUAUAGUGCCAUCAUGUGGAUACUUUGUUUUCUUCAAAUAAAAUGUAACCUUUUUAUAACAGAGACUAGAAAACCCAGCCAUCCCAACACCCAGGUAUGACAAUUUAUAUUUUAUGUUAUUUAUUUAUUGAGAAAGGUCUCCCUCUGUCACCCAGGCUGGAGUGCAGUGGUGCAAUCUCAGUUUACUGCAACCUCCACCUCCCAGGCUCAAGCGAUCCUCCAACUCAGCCUCCUUAGUAGCUGAAAUCAUAAGCAUGAGCCACUGUGCCCAGCCUGGCAUGACAAUUAAUUUGGUAUUUGUGUCUAAGCCUUUCUGUGUACAGAUUCACUCAGGGACUUCUAUAUCUGAGUUUUUAGUAUACAAAAUUUGGAAAUGAUCAUUUAAAUGAUAAAAUAAAUCUGAAUACCAUAGCUUGAUAAUACAUGCAGUCCCCAUAGAUGAUCAGUUUUCUCUCUUUCUGGAUACUAGGCUGUGCAAAGAAAUUGGGGCCAAACGUUUUUUUGCCAUGUUCUGAAAAGGUAAGAAUAAGAAAUAAAUAUUAAUGUGUGGAGCCAAAAGAGUAACCUCAGACUGGCUUAGGAGAGCAAUAUAGUCUGAGGAAAAGAGUUUCAAAAAAUAACCUCCCUGAGCUGGGCAAGGUGGCCUGUGCCUAUAAUCUCAACACAGGUUGAGGUAGGAGGCCGAAGUGGGAUGACUGCUUGAAGCCAGGAGUUCGAGAUCAGCCUGGGCAACAUAGUGAAAUCCCAUCUUUACCAAAAAAAAGAAAAAUGAGCCAGAUGUGGUAGCAUGUCUGUAGUCCCAGCUAGGCGGAAGGCUGAGGCAGGAGGAUCCCUUGGGUCUAGGAGUUUGCACCACUGGACUGUAACCUGGAUAACAGAGUGAGACCCUGUCUCUAUAAAUAAAUAAAUAAAUAAAUAAAUAAAUAAAUAAAUAAAUAAAUAAAAUUAAUUUUAAAACCUCCCUAAAAAUUAUAGUAUACCUAGAUAUGAGUACCAAAAUAUUUGUUUUAAAAUCUGGGUGUGUUGAUUUUCACAGAGAGCUAAAAUUAGUCCAUAACCCACUUAAUAUUAACUGACAUCCACCAGAGAUAAACAUGGUAAAAUUAUAUGGCUCAAGCAACUCCACAGUGCAAAUGGAGAUCCACAGAAAUAGAGAGUUGGACCUUUAGAAUUCUUUUUCUAACUUUGUUUAGUAUUUACCUCCUUUUUAAGAUAAAAUAACUGAACCAAUGAAAACAGGUACUUUGAAGCUGAAACUGAGCCUUACCUCCUCCAAGAUUGAGAAUGUGGUUGAAAAUGUCCCUUGAAUUUCCCAGUUACACAAUUAUUUAACAAACUUUGAAUGUUAUUUGUUCGGCUGCUAUGUGUAGGUGAAGAAAAUGUGAGCCAGAGAGACUCCAUCCAAUGUUAGAUAAAAGGAACACGCAAGGAGCAUUGGAAAACAUCAACCUUUAAGGAGUAGACAUGAUCGCCAAGGCAGCUGAUUGUCCCAAGGAAUAAGUAUGAGCAAUGAGCACAGAGGGAAAAUCAUGAAACAUCUGAGGACCAUGAGAACUGCUAAAACAAUACGUAGAACUAGCUAUACCAGAGAAAGUCAAGUGAAUGGAUCAGACAAUAAGAAUUGAAAAUAAGCUUAAUAGAGCUUCAGAGAAAGAAGGGAGAAUGUUGGAAACACAAAGCACAAACAAGCAUUUGUGAAUUGGAUGUUGACAAAUAUUAAUGAAAUAACUCAAUGGAUGGGUUGAAUAUAGCUGGACAGUUCACUCAUGAACCGGAAGAUUAGAGCAAGGAAGGAACUAAGAAAUGGAAAGCAUGAAAGGAGAGUUAAGAAAUGUGGAAGGUAGAAGCAUAAAUAUUUUUCUAAUGGAAAUUCCAGAAGGGGAAAAAAAGAACAUGUGAAAGAAUUAUUGCUGAGAAUUUCCCAGAAUUGAAGACAUACUUUAGAAUGAAAAAGGCCAACUCUAACUUUGGGAUUUCUAGCUUCAGAGAAAUGAAAAUUUAGAAUGACCAAGGGGAGUGCACAGGAUUUUUUGGGCAGUGAAACUAUUCUGCAUGAUACUAUAAUGGUGGAUGCAUGCUAUUACACAUUUGUCAAAACCCAUUGAAUGUACAUCACUGAGAAUGAAGCCUAAUGUAUGCACUUUGGAUGAUUAUGAUGUGUCAAUGUAGGUUCAUCAGUUCUAACAAGUAGAACAUGCUGGUGCAGGAUGUUGAUAGGGAGGCUGUGCAUAUAUGGGGGAGGGGAUGAAAGGAACUGUGUACUUUCUGCUCGUUUUUGCUGUGCACCUAAAAUUGUUCUGAAAAAAAUCAAGUCUAUUAAGAAAACAAAGACAGUUUUUUAAAGCAUAAGAGCAUACUUGUUAUAAAAAUACAUGUAAUGCAGUGUAAUUUUAGAAUUCAAGGUCACAUAUUUCUGUAACACUUUUAUUCUUUCAUGCCUACAACUUUCAUGGAAUGGUCCAGUCAAAUAGGUUCCACAUAAUAGGAACCUUCAGUAAUACACCACUCACAUGUAGCAGAAGGACUUUAAAACAGUAUAUUCCCAACUCUUCUAUUCAUUGUGCCAAUGUUGCCAUAUAUUUCACUUUUACAAAUGCUGUAAACAUACAAUACUUGUGCUAUUUUUGCUUUCGAUAGUUGCCUUUUACAGCAGUUAAAAAAAAAAAAAAAGCCAGUUGCAGUGACUCACGCCUGUAAUUCCAACACUUUGUGAGGCUGAGGCAGGAGAAUUGCUUGAGCUCAGGAGUUCAAGACCAGACUGGGAAACAUAGUGAGACCUUGUCUCUACAAAAAAUAAAAUGCCAGGCAUGGUGGCACUCAUCUAUAGUCCCAAUACUCGAGAGCUGAGGUGGGAGGAUUGAGCCUGUGAGAUAGACUAGGCUGCAGUGAGCCAAGAUCAUACCACUGCACUCCAGCCUGAGCAACAGAGUUGAGUGCUCUGCCAGUCCACACCAGCCUUCGUGAAUUCCGCAAUUCUUCUAGCUAAACAUAUACCAGUAUCUGGUUGUGUCUGUCCCAAGUAAGCUAGUGCCCUUCUCUUCCUGCAGGCAUCUGUUGCUUCUUAGAUUUUGGACCAGUUUUUUGUCCUGGGAACUCAACUCUUCGAUAAAUUCAAAAAUACUCUGUAAUUUGAAGGAAGUUUACCUUUUUUUUCAUUGUAAGGGUGGAAGAAAUGUCUCUUCUGGAUGUUUAUAUCCAAAACAAGCUGGAAAUCAGCCCUGGCUAACUUUUUUUUUUUUUUUGAGACGGAAUCUCACCCUGUCGCCCAGGCUGGAGUGCAGUGGCACAGUCUCGACUCACUGCAACCUCUACCUCCCAGGUUUAAGCGAUUCUCCCACCUCAGCCUCCCGGGUAGCUGGGACUACAGGCGUGCGCCACCACGCCCAGCUAUUCUUUUGUAUUUUUAGUAGAGAUGGGUUUUCACCAGGAUGGUCUCAAUCUCUUGACCUUGUGAUCUGCCUGCAUUGGCCUCCCAAAAUGCUGGGAUUACAGGCUUGAGCCACCAUGCCCAGCCAGAGCAUCUAAUAUUUACUGAGUACUGAACAUUUACUAAAUACUUGACAUAAUGUUUUUUAAAUCCCCCAAAAGUCAUAUUCUUACAUCAUAAAUAAGGAAAAUUUCAGAUUGAAAGGAUUCAAAGAGGGUUAAACGAGAUCACAAAAAAAAGCCACAGCUGGGUACAUUACUGUGAAAUUAAACAUCAUCAGAGAGAAACAAUAGAUAUAGAUCUUUUCAGCUUAUCUAUUUCUUACUAAAAAAGAGUAAGUUUUGUAGUUUAUGCCUUUCAGAGAAUUUCUCUAUUUUGUCUCCAUUGUCAAAUUUAUUGUCAUAAAAUUGUUCAUAAUUUUUUUUUUGAGAUGGAGUCUGGCUCCGUCGCCCAGGCUGGAGUGCAGUGGCAUGAUCUCAGCUUGCUACACAACCUCCACCUCCCAGGUUCAAGGAAUUCUUGUGCCUCAGCCUCCGGAGUAGCUGGGAUUACAGGCGCCUGCCACCACACCUGGCUAAUUUUUGUAUUUUUAGUAGAGACAGAGUUUCAC